AGCGAACGCUGGCGGCAGGCCUAACACAUGCAAGUCGAGCGCCCCGCAAGGGGAGCGGCAGACGGGAGAGUAACACGUGGGAACGUACCCUUGGUUCGGAACAACCCAGGGAAACUUGGGCUAAUACCGGAUAAGCCCUUACGGGGAAAGAUUCAUCGCCGAAGGAUCGGCCCGCGUCUGAUUAGCUAGUUGGUGGGGUAACGGCCCACCAAGGCGACGAUCAGUAGCUGGUCUGAGAGGAUGAUCAGCCUCACUGGGACUGAGACACGGCCCAGACUCCUACGGGGGGCAGCAGUGGGGAAUAUUGGACAAUGGGCGCAAGCCUGAUCCAGCCAUGCCGCGUGGGUGAUGAAGGCCCUAGGGUUGUAAAGCCCUUUCGGCGGGGAAGAUAAUGACGGUACCCGCAGAAGAAGCCCCGGCUAACUUCGUGCCAGCAGCCGCCGUAA
rnacentral:rRNA from 1 species